rnacentral:misc_RNA from 1 species
UCUCCGUUGGUGAACCAGCGGAGGGAUCAUUACCGAGUUUACAACUCCCAAACCCCUGUGAACAUACCUAUACGUUGCCUCGGCGGAUCAGCCCGCGCCCCGUAAAACGGGACGGCCCGCCCGAGGACCCAACAAACUCUUUUGAAUUUUUCAGUAUCUUCUGAGUGAAAAAAACAAUAAAUCAAAACUUUCAACAACGGAUCUCUUGGUUCUGGCAUCGAUGAAGAACGCAGC